UACGAAGGGUGCAAGCGUUGUUCGGAUUUAUUGAGCGUAAAGCGCGCGUAGGCGGACCCGCAAGUCAGAUGUGAAAUCUCAGGGCUCAACCCUGAAACUGCGUCUGAAACUACGGGUCUAGAAUCUUGGAGGGGGAAGGGGAAUUUCGCAUGUAGGGGUAAAAUCCGUAGAUAUGCGAAGGAACACCAGAGGCGAAGGCGCCUUCCUGGACAAGUAUUGACGCUGAGGCGCGAAAGCGUGGGGAUCAAACAGG
rnacentral:rRNA from 1 species